UUUGUCACGCUUUUCUCAGGUGCUCCUAAGGACGCAUCCUUAUUCCGCAGUGCAUCAGGUUUGGGGUCAGUCAUUGGAGGGAUUGUAGGAGUCAUCCUGCUCAUCUGUUUGGUUGUUCUCAUUUGGUGGUUGAAGUCUAAACGUUUAUCAGUAAAUCAGACUCAUGUGGGAAAAUGUCACCACCCCACACAGAGUUUGGGUGAAGAAAACGCUGCUCCAAAUCAAGACGUCCACUACGGAGAAAUUGACUUUUCCAAAAUGAAUCUUUCCCACUCACCGCAGAAGACAACAGACCAGCAUUGUGUUGUCUAUUCACAAAUAACCGUAGGCCAGAGUGGAAACACACGCACGAAUGAAGACAUAUACUCUUUGGUGAACAGAUGACUGGACUUGUGUACAAAUGUAAAGUUUUUUUAUUUACAUUUUACCUUAUUAAAUCUCAUUUAGCAAAUAUAUAAUCUGAAUGUGCCUUUCGGUGUGUUUUAUUUACAUUAUUUGACAUUCAUACAACUCAAAAGUAGAAGCCACUCUAUGAAAGUGUAGAUCCACCCAAGGAAAGUUUAUUUUAUUUAUCACAAUAAUAUUCAGAUAAACAUUUUACAAGUUUAAUUUUAGGUGUGGAAAUUUUUCCACCUUAAGGUUUUUUGAAGGGUAAAAAAAAAUGUCUUAAG
rnacentral:lncRNA from 1 species